GAGAGCCGUAUGAGCGGUAACGUUCAAGUAUGGUUCUUUCAGAAGGGUUGGGGACGGAAAUGGCCCCAUAAACUUUAC
rfam:Marchantia polymorpha subsp. polymorpha scaffold1356, whole genome shotgun sequence.